rnacentral:rRNA from 1 species
CGUGUAGGCGGCUUAACAAGUCAGAUGUGAAAUCCCUGGGCUUAACCCAGGAAGUGCAUUUGAAACUGUUUGGCUGGAGUAAGGGAGAGGAAAGUGGAAUUCCUGGUGUAGAGGUGAAAUUCGUAGAUAUCAGGAGGAACACCGGUGGCGAAGGCGACUUUCUGGCCCUAUACUGACGCUGAGACGCGAAAGCGUGGGUAGCAAACA